rnacentral:lncRNA from 1 species
GUGGAAUCCCUUUAGUACUGCUUGCUCCUGUUCGAGUGGAAUCAGUGAGUGUCUUGGCGGGUAGGAUAGGCUGGUUUACAUACUAGUUAUUGUGGUUGACUUACUUGUUUAAAUCCUUCAAAAGAAGAGAGUAGACUUCAGAAUCCAAUCCAAUGGGAUGAAAAAAACACGAAAACAAAAUGACAUUGCUCCUUGUUUUGUAAGUACCGGAGUGAUGAGUUAGGAGUUCAAUGAAAUACUGGGACCUGGCCCAGCUACUAUUAGUACAGGAGUCCGGAGUAACAGAGUUUAAGACCUGAGGAGUUUCAUGAAAUACUGGCACCCGAGUUAGACACUCGACUUGAAGUUCAGAAAUCAGAAUUAGUUGACUUAGGUAGAGGAUAGAGGUGAAGUGGCAUAUGUCUUAGUUGCCCGAGGAGAGGGAUAGUUUACAGUGAAAGAAUAUCAGAAUAAAGAAUUCCACCACAGUAUACACAUAGUAGGGAAAAAUAUAGGUUAAUUUCAUAUAUCUUUAUAUAGGAUGACUGCUUCCAAGACUUAAACCAGGUAGCCCGGAACUGGUGGGUAUAAGCUUCAAGCGCGGGGUCAGCUAGUUGGUAUCAGUCUAUCCGCCCAGAGUAUAGGUAAAUUAAUAUAGAGUUAAUAGAGUGAAAGAGUUUUGUAGAGGCCUAGGUAUUUAUACGUUCCUUAGCAACCCGGUCAACUCCAUUCUUAAAGAAAGGAAAGAGCAACCCAGCCUCUCAUAGAUCGGAAUCAGCUAAGGUGGUAAAGAGUGAAACGUAGAAUCAAGAAUGAGUCCCCGCAAAAGGGAAGGAUGAAACUAAGCGGUAAAAGAAAUCCACUACUGCUUCUAAGACAACAACAGUACACCCUAUGAUCCAACUGGAGAUAAAGAAUCCAGCUAAGAAGUAAGGCCUACCCUACCAUAUCAGAAUUCUCGCGUGGGGCUGCUAACAAGAUUCUCACUAGUACAGUAGUAUUAGUAUGAUGUAGGGCAUUAUAGCUCAUAGUAUUAUUGGUAUUAUGUAGGUAGGGCAUUAUAGGACUCGGGUAGUGAGCACCAGAACUCAACCCAGUAGUUGUAUAAGAAGCCCAAUGAACGGAGGCAGGUAGACGAAGAAAGGAGUUACUGUUCCGCCGGGCUGUGGAAUUAUGCCCUCCGCUUAACUUCAUUAGGCUAAUCUAACUCUGGUAGGCUUCAAUACCUCACUUUAGAACUGGAACUGGGGAUUCUCUUUCUUCUACUUUUGUGAUUGAAUGAAGAUCUUUCUGUUCUGCUCUGGUUGAAUCCCUAUACUAGGGGUUGUUGUUGAAUGAAGUGACUAGGCUAGGAAGGAAGUUACUAGGAAGUCCGUUACUAGUUAUGAAGUCAGUUACUAGGGUUGAGUAAGCCCGAAGUCAGGAGUAAUAAACCCUAAGUUAGUAGUUAGUAGGAAGCCUUAAGCCCUAAGCUAUGAGUAAGCCCACCUAUUGCCCGAAGUCACUAGUUUAGUCUAGUUCCCUUACCUAGCCCCAGAGGAGUUGUAUAGGAGAGAGGUCAAGUGGAAAGUUAGAGCCAGAGCCAGAGGUAUUAUAUAGGAAUAUAGGAGAUGAGCCUGAGUUAUAUUAGCCGAAUUCUUCUCAUAGUUGACAGCUGCUAGUGGAGAUGAGCCAGAAGUCCUAUAUAAGAGAUGAGAAAGAGGAGAGGAAGUAGUUUUGAGUGACUUUUCACUUUCGAAACACCUAAUGGCUUAAACGACUAGAACAAAGGGUUAUUCACUGCAAACACACCUAGUAGUGGCCCCCAAGUCCCUAACAUCUCUUGGCUCCAAAUAUAACUCGCUGUUUCGUAAGCCUAAGUGCGUAAGCUAGUUCUUUCCGAGCAGUAGGGAGAGUAAGGCCAGUGGCCAGUAUCAAGUCAAGUUGCAAGAAAGGAUUUCAGAUAAGACUCAUUCCUUACAUCCAAAUAAAGACUUGUUUCGCAGGACAAUAAGUUGACCUCUCUCUCCACGAUUUUGAUCUCAAGGAACUACAGCAAAGCGCACAACUACUUCAGAAUGGAAUUAGUUUACUACGGUAUAGUUUCCAGAUGGGAGCAAGAGGUAUCAUAGGUAUGUAUGCUCAAUGCUUAGGUUGUAGAUGUAUCGGAUAGGAAGUAAGAAAGUAGUUUACUUAAUAAAUAGUUUGAUUAGUGUAUCAGUCGAUAAAAGUACAAAUAACAAAGAUGUUGCUAGGGAAGGGCCUCUAUUCUAUGGUUUCAAAUAGUCCCAGUUUGCCGGAUUAGAAGCUAGACUCUCAUUCAACCCCGACCUAUCCUCUCACAGCAGCUGAUUUUAGAACGGAUACUAUAAUAAACUAAGUCCUCAUUCUUACAGGGUAUCCUCGUACAAGUCGGGUAGCUGCCUCCGUCCUGUAGGCUUCUCCUCUAGUUUGUGAAUUAACAGAGUCUUUCCUUGCUACGGAUUGGGUUGUCAAUCAGAUCAGUAUAGAAAGAGAGGCCCAUGGGUUUUGUGUGAUUCUAAUUAAUGAAAAUGGAACAAGCUACUAAAGAAAGGUGGAGUUCAGAGUGACUUAAAUAAGUAUAUAAGUAGGAGUUAGUCGGGGAGUUAAUUAGUAAAGAAUAAAUAAGAAACUAGAUGCUUAGGAGUGAAAGAGUCAAUCUACUUCUCCAAGGUAAGAAACAUAAGAAUUAACCAUGGAUGAUCCACACAAGUCCAUUCCCCCGGGGCCGCUCUUCAUACCCAGUUCCAUUUCCAUUUCUUUCUCAUAGCAAGCAACGUUCAAUGAAUUCUUAAGCGUUAAGUAAUCCCAGGCCUUACUUACUGUUUGUUGUUGAAAGAGCUGGAUCGAAAGCGGGAUCUGUAUCUGUUGCCAGCAGGGUGAAGUUCUGAAGUUAAUAGGAGCCUCAUUCAGAUAUAAAAGAAAGUCUAAAAUCAAUUUCGAAUUGCUUUGCUAUGAUCCAUACUAAAUUCUACUAAAUGCAUUAUUUAUCUUAUAUGAAGUUGAAGUGAAGUAUCCGACCUUUGAACAGAGUAGUAUAUUAAGUCGCACCCGGCCCCACAUCUUUUGUUUUAUUGAUUGAGGACCCGCUUGCUACUGACUUUCACACAGCUGAUUCAUUCUCUGACUUUCACACAGCUGAUUAAUUCUCUGAGAUAUACUUUCUUCGCACCAGCCAAGCUACAUAUACAAAGGCACAGCUAUGGACCAAAAGCCCUAUCCCUAAUAGGCACCAGUGGACCUGAAGUAAACCAGCGGAGUGGAAAUAUCAAUAUCAUAAUUAUUAGUUGACUCAGGUAUUAAUGAAGCAAGUCCUAAGGAAGGUAGAAAUCCUAAGGAAGGUAGAAAACAGAGCUAGUGUUCGUCUCCUAUUGCUCCUGCUCCCGAGCACAUAAAUCAAGUAGGCAAGCUGCGGCAUACAAUGAGCCUGAGGUUACUAUUUAUGUUCUACAAAUCUGUGUCAUCUACUAUUGGCCUGGCCUCUCCUUCAGGGUGCAAGAGAGAGAAAGAGUUCAAUCUGUUCGUUCCUAAAGUAGAGUAGAGAAAAAGUGAAAGGGAAGGGCGCUAAAGGAGUUACUGCUGCUGGCGUGAGAGGGUCCGCUUGUCUUACAGGGGAGAUACCAUUUCAUCUUUUAUAGCAAUACGCCAUUUCCUCUUUUAUAACAAUUGUAAUAGGAGCUAGAUCCAUCCCUUAUACUUAAAGAACAGAACUUCCCACUUCGUCCCUUUCUUUUGAAGAAGACUGACUUUAUGAUGCCUCCACUGCCUCUGCUCCGGACUCCAGUAUUGUAUUUAAUACCAGUGAAAAAGUAAAGUAAGGAAAGGUAAGUUUCAACCUAAGAUACAGGUAUGGAAUUGUCUCCCUUGCUAACCUCCAUUUGAAUGAAAACUGACUGAUGAAACUCUAAACUCCCGAUAAGGUAUUGAAAUAUUCAGACAGCUUGCCCAGUUGCUUGUCGUCUUGUCUAGUAGUCGCUUUGUUAGUGAAAUACCUGAGUAGUAGUAGUAGCAGUAGCAAGAGGAGAGGUCGGGAGUGAUAGUGAAAAGCCAGUAGUUGGCGAUAGGCUAGUUUACUUACUUAGUUUACUUACUUAGUUGACUGACUUGGUUUACUGACUUGUUAGGCUUGUUUACUGACUUGGUGGGGUCGGGGUUAACUAAUUGAAGUAACAAACUGGGGUGAACUCAAAGGUGAGAAUGAAACUCCGCUGGGAAUAGAACUGAUUACAGAAACUAUAGUAGUUCCUUGGCGGUCGUUAGUAGUUACUUGCCUGGUGAACGAGUCCACAAAGAAUUCCACUUAAUAUAUUAUCUUAUCUAAUUCCUAUUGCGCUAUUUCGAUUUAUAGUACCUUCCUUUCUAUCUGACAGUAAGUAGCCUGGCCUCUCCUUCACUUGGAGACACUUAGACACAAGCAAGACAAACUACAUUGCCAAUUUGAUGCUUCCGUGCAAUAGUCACUCUGAUGCGGAUACUUAGUCUUGGGCCGAGUCAACCAUAUCUUGGAACGAGUCAAACACAAAUCCGAAUUGACAGAAAGACACUGGACUUGCUCAUAAGUAGAUGCUUGUCCUGUUCUUGUUAGAGGAGUACCUAAUUCUUAAAGGAAGGAGUUAACGGUUGGGGAAAUGGAGAACAAGAAUCUAGUAUAGUAGUAGCUGGUUGGUUAAGAGCACUGGGUGAGGUUGGUGACUUAGCUCUAUUAGGUAGGCCAAGCUUGCCCGUAUUUCUAUACAAGCUGUCUGUCUGCUUCAAUUCCGAGUUUCAUUCCUUUACUGACUAGUGCAAUUCCUAGUCUACUGAGUUGCCCUCUGUUACUGACUUGUUUCAUUCAAUGACUUUGUUUGAGCUCCAGUGGGACAAGAAGUGGAGUUACCAAUCUGUAUUUGUUUACUAAGUCCUGUGCAACUUGACCUUUCCAUUUCAUCCCUUAGUUGACCUUUCCAUCUCAUCCCUUAGUUGGUUAGUAACCGGCCUGGCCUCCAUCAUACCUAGAGCGAGAGCUGGGGAAGAAACAAGGGCGGAGUGCCCAUCGGUUACAAGACUCAGUGCGCUAACUGGAGUUGUGGAAUUCUGUAUUUGUUUACUACGGAUAGGUAGGCUAAAUCCAAUCUCUAAGUCAGAUCUCUAAGUCAGAGCGAGAGCUGCGGAUUCUAUCUCUUUCCUGAAUUAGUAACAUUGGAACAAGCUGCGUAGUUAGCCCAAGUCACUCAGGUAUUAAUUGCCCUCAGUCAGUUACUAGGCAUGCAUCUAGGGCAACUAUGUAGUUAAAGUCGUAAUUACACUCUCUAGUAGGCAAGUAGAAUAAAACAAGUAAGUAUGAGACAACCCAGUAAGUAGUAGACUCAGAAUGGAACUAAGUAGUAAUAGUCUAGGCGCCAUCCCUUGUUUCAUCUUAUUUGGAAUUAUUAUUAUUUAUAAAGAAAGAAAGUACUGGGUUAGGGCCCACUUUAGAGUGCAAAGUCGCUAAUACAAAUGAUGCUGGUCGAGUGGAAUACCGAAGAUUGACUACACCGGGCACCAAUUACUUAAGGGCAAAGGACAGAGCAGAGCAGAGGUAUAGUCAAAGAAUUCCACCAGUAAGCACAGCUCCUAAGAUCAGUCUUAAACUAGUGCAUCUAAGCCUGAGAGCAAGGGUAGCGAGACUGAGAGCAGGGAGUCAAAGAAUGGGAGCUAGCAAGGGUCAGAUCAGAAUUCCACUCGGCAGUCCAAGAAUGCAAGUGAACCGGAGGGGUCUCGUUGCUUGGCAGUUUCCAGAGUUAGAGAAUUUCCCCUAGUUUCAAGCUUAAUAGUAGGGCUUGGAGUCAGAGUCCGAAAGAAGAAUUAGUGGAAGUAGAGUGAGAGUUGAAGACCUUUAGUAAUGCUCCUGGUGGUACUGCCCUAAAGUUAAUGGCAUUGGCAACGAGAUCAUAAGCAGUGGAAGUAUCAUCAGCUGGAUAAUUGCCAGGAAUUGAUGCUUUUCUUACCCAAACCCGGAUAGUACUAUGGAUAAAAGAAUCUAGUACUUUAGUGUUGUAUCCAGGAGCAAGCUUUUAUAUAAAGGCAAGCAAGCAGGAAUCGGACAGAACAAGCAGCGGUCAUAAGUGAAACCAGAUCCUGUAGUGGCUCAUGAAAUGAGAAAUUAUGACUUAUUAGUGGAGAGCACAGGGUAGGCGAUAAAGAUAGCCCUAUUGGUUCAGAGCACCCACUUCUAGAAGUAAUCAAUUCCAUUCUUCUUUACUUGCUCCAGCGGUAAGUGUGACUGAUUUCAUAGGUAGAGUUAAGAGUCACUUGGCCCUGUUCUGGUUCUUGUUCUAGUGGAAUCCCCAGUAGAAUCAGUAUUUUGAGUAGUUGCGUGUUUCAUUCCUUUCUUUGCCUCUGUAGUAGUUGAUUGGCCAGCUGCAGGGCUUGUUUUGUUUCAAGAAGUAGGCGUAGUGGUAAAGUUCUGGUUCUAUGGUUGACAGCCCCCCCAAGUAGUGGUGCAUAUAAGUCAUUGUUGCAGUAGAUUCAUAAAAGGCAGGCUCCUAGGAUGGAGCAGGCGAU